AUUCCAGCUCCAGUAGCGUAUAUUAAAGUUGUUGCAGUUAAAAAGCUCGUAGUUGGAUUUCUGGCUUUAUAGAACUGACCCGCCACGUUAGUGUGUGAGUGUCGGCUUCUAUAUGCCAUCCUUCCACAGAACGUUUCUACUCUUGAUUGAGCCGGAUUCGCAAUGUGGAACUUUUACUUUGAAAAAAUUAGAGUGUUCAAAGCAGGCUUACGCUAUGAAUACAUUAGCAUGGAAUAAUAAUCUAGGACUUUGGUUCUAUUUUGUUGGUUUCUAGAACUGGAGUAAUGAUUGAUAGGGAUAGUUGGGGGUGCUAGUAUUCAGCGGCCAGAGGUGAAAUUCUUGGAUUCGCUGAAGACUAACUUAUGCGAAAGCAUUCACCAAGGAUGUCUUCAUUG
rnacentral:rRNA from 1 species